GAGCAACCUGUGAGCAGUAACAUUUUACCUUAGGCCUAACUCUAAACUAAACCUAAAGUCUGGAUGGAUGAUAGGAAUAAUCUUUAACAAUGAUGUUAAUCCAGGAUCAAAACUGAGAUUUCUGGGUCACCAGCUCUGGAGGAUAUUGGGAUUUUCAUUUGGCCUUGGACACUGAUGAGGCAGCUAGUGAGGCAAACAUGUUGGAGUGGUUCAGGUCUUCAAACAUGCUGGGUAAUCAUGAAGUAGAUCCCUGAAGGCUGGCUUCAUUUGUCAUUCUGUCAUUUAAGCCAAUGGUAACGUCAAGCAGAACGAGGUAGAGUCAAAGUUUUGCUGUCUCAGCAGGGAUGUUCAGAGAGAAUUCUGUCAUCGCAGGACCAUUGAGGGGGUCAGAUCCUCCUGCAAAAAUAAACACAGAUGCAUACUGGCAGGGCUCUUUUAGAAAGCGUUCAUCACUCCUCUCUGCAGGUGUCCAUCUGCGGGUGUCAAUGAAACCAUAUUACGACCAGAUACCAUAUUCAUAAUCAUCUAUAAUUAAAAUGACAUAACAUCAUACCACUGUCAUGCUUGGUGAUUAUAAAUGAGUGCCCAACAACAAAGAAGUAAUCCACAAUAGGCUUUUAUUAAUAAAUCCACAAGGAACACAGGGGAAUCACCAGAACCUAUGUAACACAAAAUGUAGACACAAACAAUAACUGGCAAGGAACUGAACAGAGCAGGGAG
ensembl:lncRNA